rnacentral:rRNA from 1 species
AUUGAACGCUGGCGGCAGGCCUAACACAUGCAAGUCGAACGAGUGGCGGACGGGUGAGUAAUGUCUGGGAAACUGCCUGAUGGAGGGGGAUAACUACUGGAAACGGUAGCUAAUACCGCAUACCAUCAGAUGUGCCCAGAUGGGAUUAGCUAGUUGGUGGGGUAACGGCUCACCAAGGCGACGAUCCCUAGCUGGUCUGAGAGGAUGACCAGCCACACUGGAACUGAGACACGGUCCAGACGCCGGAGGGAGGCAGCAGGGGGGAAUGUGGGACAAUGGGCGCAAGCCUGAUACAGCCAUGCCGCGUAUAUGGAGAAGGCCUUCGGGUUGUAAAGUACUUUCAGCGGGGAAGCGUUACCCGCAGAAGAAGCACCGGCUAACUCCGUGCCAGCAGCAGCGGUAAUUC